UGAAACUCACCCUGGUGCGUGAUGGUAUAAUGCUGUCCUCGCAGAAGUGGAUAUAUGAGGUCACAGUGUCCGUAUACUCAUCCAAACUGUCCGUGGCAGCCCUCAUUGAGUCCCAGUCUGUAGUCUCCAAACACGUGCGGAGCUCCUCCACAGCCUCGCUGGUCCACUGUUUUAUUGUCCUCACCACCGGUUUGGAGAGUUUCAGCCUCUGCCUGUACGCGGGGAUCAGGUGGAUCAUUUCGUGAUCAGAAAGACCGAGUGCAGCGCGGGGCACUGCGUGAUAAGCUCCGCUGAUCGUGCUGUAACAAUGGUCCAAUGUGUUCUCCUCUCUGGUCGGGCAUUUAAUGUACUGCUUAUAUUUGGGAAGUUCUUGGCUCAAGUUGGCUUUAUUAAAGUCCCCAAGAACAAUGAUGAGAGAGUCCGGGUAUGUCCGCUCCAUGCACAGUAUCUGGUCCGCAAGUGCACACUGAGCUACGUGCACGUCCGCGUCUGGCACGAUGUAAACAGCGGCCAGUAUGAAUGAGGCAAACUCCCGCGGAGAGUAAAACGGUUUACAGUGAAUGAAAAAAUAUUCCAGAGAGGGAGAACAGUGCUGAGCGAUCACUGUCAUGUCCGUACACCAGCCACUGUUGAUGUAGAAGCAGACACCUCCACCUGUUGCCUUGCCGGAGAGAGCUGCUUGUCUGUCCGCGCGGAGAAGAUGGAAUCCCUCCAGCUGUAACGCGCAGUCCGGGACCUCCUCACACAGCCACGUCUCCGUAAAGCACAAAACACAGGAUAAAUAAAAGUCUCUGUUCGUGCUCCUCAUCAGUGCUAGUUCGUCUAUUUUAUUCCUAAGUGAGCGCACAUUGGACAGGAAAAUUCCAGGUAAGGGCGUGCGUAAUCCACGUCGCCGUAGUCGCACGAGCACACCAGCUCGCUUCCCUCUCUUUCGACGUCUCACUCUCCGGAUCAAGGUCUGUAUUAAAUCUGCCGCCGAUACGACAAAAACUGGAAAUAGAUCCACUGGUGUUGUUGUCCUAAUGUUCAAAAGCUCUUCUCUGGUGUAAAAGUACCCAGAAGAAUGUCCAGACACACAGUUAACGCACAAAAACAGACAAAACAAUGCGCACCUAAGCACCAGGGCAUCCGUUCGCGGCGCCAUCUUGGCACAGGAAAUACCA